GUGACCAGCUGUCUCAGUUGACUCAGGACAAAUGAGCUUCCUGGAAUGCAAAACUUUUAUUUUUAAAAUUGAGACAAAUAGAGCAAACUAGGAUGAGCUGGUCACCCUGCAAAUGAGACAUGACAACUAAAUGCAAGAGAGGAUCCUGGAUGGCACCAGAAGAAGAAACUGAGGCCUAGAAAUGUGAAAAAAUUUGCCCGAAAACACUCAUGAAAAGCAAGAACCCAUAGUCACACUCAGGGCUGGGGGACUCCAAAGUUGGUGCUCUCUCCCAGCAUGCAGAACAAGGAUUCUAGGCUGGAAGCUGAGAAGCAAGAAAAGGGAGGAAGAGUGAGCCUCAGCUGGGCACUGACACAUGACUGGCACUAGAGCUGGCACCUGACACAUGACAUCUUCACAUCACACUCUUCCUUCACUUAGAUGGAGAAAUAAGGUCUGGAGAGGUUGAUAAAGCUUCCCCGAACUGUUCCCAUUCAUGGUACCUCUUUCCUUGCCUCUGUGUUACUGAUCUGAGCCAUCCAUGUUAACAUCACACAAAAUUCAAUGACUCUACACCAGCGGUCCAGGAUGAUGACAUGAGGUGUCACUGGGGGGGGUAGUUCUUGCUACUGAGAUCCAUCCUCUCCCACAGCAGCACAUCACUCAUAAUAUCACAGUCUUUAUUUUCAACAACCCCACUGACCCCAGAGACAAAGCAUGUCCCAUGUAGAGCUGGGAAAAGGUUUAAUACUGAUAGGGAGGGAAAAGUUCACAUGAUAAUUCAGCCAAGAAACUGAGCUGGCCAUUCUGGCCUCUGUUCUCUUGCUGUGAACUUGAGCUCCCAUAGCCAAGUACAACUCAGGGUGGCCAUGUCCAGAGCGUGUUAAGGGCCUUUCAUUCCAUUUCCUCGUCAGUAUCCCGGGAAACGGGCAGUAAACACCAAAACAACAGGACAAGGAAAUAAAAUCUUAAGCAAUUAAUUAUUAUAAGAUUUCCAC
rnacentral:lncRNA from 1 species